UGAGGGAUAUUGGUCGACGGGCGCAAGCCUGAACCAGCGACGCCGCGUGGGUGAAGAAGGUCUUCGGAUCGUAAAGCCCUUUUCCCACUGAAGAGGAAGGACGGUAGGUGGGGAAGAAGUCUCGGCUAACUACGUGCCAGCAGCCGCGGUAAAACGUAGGAGACAAGCGUUAUCCGGAGUUACUGGGCGUAAAGGGCGUGCAGGUGGCGUCUUAAGUCUGUUGUGAAAGCGCCUGGCUUAACCGGGCGAGGCCAAUGGAGACUGAGAGGCUGGAGGACGGCGGAGGGGUGUGGAAUUCCGGGUGUAGUGGUGAAAUGCGUGGAGAUCCGGAGGAACACCAGAGGCGAAGGCGGCACUCUAAGCCGUACCUGACACUGAGACGCGACAGCACGGGGAGCAAACG
rnacentral:rRNA from 1 species